AGGCUUUGAUCCUGGCUCAGGACGAACGCUGGCGGCGGGUCUAACACAUGCAAGUCGAGGGACGAACCGGGUGCUUGCACCUGGGGAAACCGGCGAACGGGUGAGUAACACGUGAGGAACCUGCCCUGUACACCGGGAUAACCACGGGAAACCGUGGCUAAUACCGGAUGCUCCAUCGUGAUCGCAUGAUCGUGAUGGGAAAGCUCAGGCGGUACAGGAGGGCCUCGCGGCGUAUCAGCUUGUUGGUGGGGUAACGGCCUACCAAGGCUACGACGCGUAGCUGGAGUGAGAGCUCGAACAGCCACACUGGGACUGAGACACGGCCCAGACUCCUACGGGAGGCAGCAGUGGAGAAUCUUGCGCAAUGGGCGAAAGCCUGACGCAGCCACGCCGCGUGCGGGAAGAAGGCCUUCGGGUCGUAAACCGCUUUCAGGAGGGAAGAAGCGAAAGUGACGGUACCUCCAGAAGAAGGUCCGGGUAAA
rnacentral:rRNA from 1 species